rnacentral:rRNA from 1 species
GAUGAACGCUGGCGGCGUGCCUAAUACAUGCAAGUCGAGCGAACAGACGAGGAGCUUGCUCCUCUGACGUUAGCGGCGGACGGGUGAGUAACACGUGGAUAACCUACCUAUAAGACUGGGAUAACUUCGGGAAACCGGAGCUAAUACCGGAUAAUAUAUUGAACCGCAUGGUUCAAUAGUGAAAGACGGUUUUGCUGUCACUUAUAGAUGGAUCCGCGCCGCAUUAGCUAGUUGGUAAGGUAACGGCUUACCAAGGCAACGAUGCGUAGCCGACCUGAGAGGGUGAUCGGCCACACUGGAACUGAGACACGGUCCAGGCUCCUACGGGAGGCAGCAGUAGGGAAUCGUCCGCAAUGGGCGAAAGCCUGACGGAGCAACGCCGCGUGAGUGAUGAAGGUCUUCGGAUCGUAAAACUCUGUUAUGAGGGAAGAACAAAUGUGUAAGUAACUAUGCACGUCUUGACGGUACCUAAUCAGAAAGCCACGGCUAACUACGUG